UCUAACUCUUUUCUCUUUUCUCUCUUGCCGAACCCUCCCUCUCGGACGUCUCUCUCGCUCUCUCCCCUAGCAUCUGCAACUCCUUCCUUACUCUCUGCAGACACUCCCUCGCUCUAACACACUCACACUCUCUUUAGCACCAAGGGCUUUAGCCUUAAUUUUUCCAUUAUCUUACAACAAAUCGAACCUUAAACUCCUAUAUUUUGAACCUAUGGAAUUCGAGGAAUACAACCAUGGUCUGGCAUGCAUCAUCGAAGCACCGUGAGGUGCUUAUCCAUUGAAGUCGAGAGCCUCAAGCUCUAUUGUGAAACCAGCUCCAGCGUCGAACUCUGGUGAAAUUGAAGCCACCUGGGGUUCUUCUUCUUCUGGGUUUUAUUCUGUUUUAGUUUAGGGAGGAAAUGGUGAAGUUCUGAGUUAAGGUUUCGUGUUCUAACUUAUGCAUACAUUCUGUUUGCUUUCCCAAAAUCCGGUAAGCACCUUCAAAGAAAAUCCGUAGAUUCCAAGGUGGAUUCCACCUCCAAUCAACCUAAAAUCGUUACAGAUUCUGGUGAUUUCCCGUGCCGACAAGCGGCGGUAGACGACAGUCACCAUUAGGAUUAACGACGACAACGACCAUUCUAUUAGUUUUAGCAAAAUCUUUAGAUGGUAAAUUAAGGUGAAGUUGCUAGUGGGGAUUUCCUUAAUCAUUUUUCCGCAAAAUUCUGCUGCUAAGGAGUAUCUGUGAGUGGAUCCUUUCUAAAAUUACAUGAUUUUAUAGUUCAAUUUCAUAAAUGAAUAGCAUGCCUUACGAGUUUAUGAUUUGACUUUCUGUUAAGCAUGUUUAUCAAAUAUGUUAAUUUUUCGUCUCGUGUUUUUGGUGAGGAAUUAAUUAUUAGCCAAUAUUGAGUUAUAGUUUGAUAUAUCGUAUUUUCUAUAAAAACCAUGAACUGGUAGAUUAUCUGAUGGAUGACGAUAGGAUGCUAGAACAUGUUUUAGAAACCUCUCUUUAUAGUAUAGACGAUGAAUGACUUUAUACUAUGAAGUGAUUAUUUAUGAGAGGCGUAACUAUUUGUGUGUACCUAGUGGACAUUAUGCCGUCUGGGGUGAGGAUCUGGUGUUGGCAGAUAGGCCGGGAGAAAUAAUCCCUAGCUACGGGCUGAGGGACACAGACCAGGCAUUGGCCGGGAGUUGGUAAUCUCUGGCUACGGGCGCAGAGACCACGGUGCUGGCAUAGGACCGUGAGUAUAUAUUUAAUUCAGUGAUCUUACUAGCAGUACACCGUGCUUACGAGACGAUCUACGAGAUGAUACAUGCGAUGAUUUAUAUGAUGUUUUUUUUCCGCGUUAUACCUGCAGAGAUGUUUUAUGGCAUGCUAGAGUUUCAGAAAACCUAUCACUUAUUUAUGCUAGUAGUUUUCAUCAUAUAUAAACCUGGGGGUUAAUAUAUUCAUAACUGUUUUCGUAUUAUGUGUGUGUGUGUGUGUAUAAACAUGGUCCACUCACCCUUGUUUUGCGCCCCCUUUCAAGAUUUAGAAUCAAGGUAUACGAUCCCGACGUCAACGCUUUUGCAUUGGCAUAUUCGAGUCCUCUCGGUGUAGGACCCACAUCUUCUUAUUUAUUCAAUUUUAUAUUAAUUCUUUUAGAGCUCUAGUUAGUUGUAUGUUCUGAACACAUUCCUAAAUAUUUAAUUCAUUGUAUUUAAAUUCAUAACCCUUAUUUACUUCUUAUUAUUAGCUAUUGUAUCAAU
rnacentral:sRNA from 1 species